GGUUUUUUGAAUUUGAAUAAAAAAUCAGACCUGCCCACUGAUAAAGGGCUGCAGUAUUUUGACUGUACAAAGGUAGCAUAAUCAUUAGUCUUUUAAUUGGAGACUGGUAUGAAAGGUUAGACGGAAAUAAACUAUUUUAAGUAUAAUAUUGAAUUUUAUUUUUAAGGAAAAGAGCUUAAAUAUAGCAAAGGGACGAGAAGACCCUAUUAAAUUUAAUAUAACUGUUUAAUUUUAGUUAAAUAAAAAUGCUAAAUGUUUAUUAGUUUUACUGGGGCGGUAAAUAAUAAACUUUAUUUUUAUUUAAUGUGUUAAGUAGCAAUUAUUUGAUCCAAAAGGAUUGAUAUAAGAUAUAAUUACUGUAGGGAUAACAGCGUAAUAUUCUUUGAGAGUUCUUAUUGACAAGGGUGUUUGCGACCUCGAUGUUGGAUUGGGAAGUCUUAUUGGUGCAGUAGUUUUUUAAGAGGGUCUGUUCGACCCUUAAAAUCUU
rnacentral:rRNA from 1 species